rnacentral:tRNA from 1 species
AGAGAGUGAGGGGCGGA